UACGUAGGGGGCAAGCGUUGUCCGGAAUUAUUGGGCGUAAAGAGCUCGUAGGCGGUGUGUCGCGUCGGUCGUGAAAACUUGGGGCUUAACCCUGAGCUUGCGGUCGAUACGGGCAUCACUGGAGUUCGGCAGGGGAGACUGGAAUUCCUGGUGUAGCGGUGAAAUGCGCAGAUAUCAGGAGGAACACCGGUGGCGAAGGCGGGUCUCUGGGCCGAUACUGACGCUGAGGAGCGAAAGCGUGGGGGAGCGAACAGG
rnacentral:rRNA from 1 species